GGUCAACUGGCUCGCUGAUUCUAGCUAGCUUCAGACACAGUAGUUAUAAUGGCCCAACCUACUAGUAAUAUCAAAUCGUUAGAACCAAACUAUCGACCCAAAAUGUUUCAGCCCCAAAAUCACCAAGUGUUAUAAAGCCCCCUUAGACUUCCAGCUGAUGAACCGGCUUUCACACCAAAUGUAACAAUCCAGCCUACUAGCAAUAAUAAUUCAUUAAACCCAAACUAUCGGUCCAAAAUACUUAAGCUAAGUUAUUAUUACUUGGAUACGAUGUCUUUUAUAUUCUCAAUAAUAAAUUAUUUCCCUCUGAUGUGGGACUAUUGGAGUUGGUGUUAAAGUAGUUGAAAUUGAAGGCACCCAAAGUUGGCUCAACCUAAUUUCUAAAUUCAAAACAAAAAAAUUAUAUAGAGAAUUUUCAAUUCAAAAGUAAAAAAUUUUAAAUAAAAUUAUCGAAAGAUCAUGUUUUUACAGCACAGUAUGGCCCAAUCUAGGAGAAAAUCUACUGUGUCAUACUUGCACCACAUUAUCAAUAACAAAUCAAUCAUAUCUCUUUUUUUCAAAAAAAAAGUACAAUAAAAAUACUUUUUAAUCAUGAUGUAACGGAUAACUUAAAAAAAAAAGUUAUUUGAUUGGUUGGGGACGUCAUGUCACCACUAUAACCGGUCCAUUUUAGAAUUUUUCCAAACCAGGACCCUACUAUAUAGUACCAUCCAUUUAUUUUACCCAUUUUUUUUCAUUUUUUAUGUGAAUUUCAUAAUUUUGAAAUUGAAUAUUUAUAGGUUUGAGGGUACUUGGGUGGUUUCCAUUAUUUGGAAAAGGAUUUUGAUAGUUUUAGAGGUACCUGUCAACUAAGAAUUUUUUUUUUUUUUUUUUUGAGAGAUAGGUAGCACGCUACCCGCUUCGUUUAUUUCGUCAACUAAGAAUAUUAAAAGUAAGGGUGAUUGGUUUAAUUGGAGAAAAUUGUUGUACCAUUUUGGUUGCCACAAGCAACUAAUUAGUCACAUAUAUUUCUUCAUCAAACAUACUAUGAAGUGGGCAUUUGGCUUUUUAGGUGAAUUUGACAUUUAUUUUGAGUGCCAAUAUUUAUUUUUGGCUAAAUUACAAAAAGAAAUACUGUAAAUAUCCGCUUUUUCACUUUGCUUCCCCAGCUUUCAAAAACUUAUAUUUUACUCUCUCAAUAUUUCAUGUUAUUGCAUUUAGCCCCCUAUUCUAUCAGGAUUCCAUCACUAUUCUGUCUAGUCCAUUUCUUAUAAUUUAUACUGAAAAUAUCCAAAAUGACAAAAAUAUAUUAAAAAAAAAUUUUUCGUAUUUAAGGAAUAAGAGUAAUUUGAUCAUUUUGCCCUCUCCAUUAACACCUCUAUUGAAAUAUUUCUGAAAUUUUAAGAGGACAAAAUAUAGAUUUCUAGAAGUUAGGAAAAUAAAGUAAAAAAAAAGAAGAAGAAGUAAUUAUAAGGAAUUUCCUGUAAUUUAGACUUUUUAUUUUUUAUUUAUUUUUUCUUUUAUAGUAAGAUCUAUAGGCAAUUUUCUCUACUAAGAAUAUGAAACGACUGCUAUUCUCUAACAAAGAACAAUAUUUUUAAAAUUUAUAAGUUAAACUAACAAAGAACAAUAUUUUAAAAAUUUAUAUUCAACAAAACUAAUAAUGUUAUAAAGCUGAUGAGACUCAAACUAUAAAUUUCUUGUCCUGAUAUUAUAGUAAAGAAUGUGAAUGUUCUCCAAUAACUUAAACUAUUAAAAACAGUAUUUUUUUUUUAUAAAGUUAAUUGCAUACAACUUCGUACAAACAUAUCGAAUCAAAUAAAAUAAAUAUUCCUACAAAGUUCAACUUGUCAUAUUUAUCCCUAUAAAAGUCCUAACAUUUUUAAAUAUACUCCUACGUUAGAUAUCGAUAGAAAAAUAUAGUUAACCAUAGGUAAAAUGCCUAAUCCCGGUUAGUGAAUGAGCUAAUUUGACAUUUUAUUCUUUUAUAUUAUUUGUGAUGGUAGAAAGGAAGAAGAAGACCAUUGAAAAUUUUUGAAAGAACAUUUCUACAUAUUUCUAAUAAUUGGGGCUUUUGUAGUGAUAUAUUUAUGAUUACAAAAAUAUCAUUUCCUUUAUCUUCUGUUAAAAAAUAAACAGUGCUCUAAUAAUAACAAACCAGAUAAGUAAAUAUGAAGAUCACUGAAUUUCUGCAAGAAUAAAUAUAAAAAGUUAAAUUUUGUAAAAAUAUAUUUACUAUUCGAUAUGUUUAUAUAGAGCUGUAUAAAAUUAACCCUUUUUUUAUAUUUAUUGCAGUUCAUAUUGAAUAUAUUACAUAUUGCACUUAAUGCUACAAA
rnacentral:lncRNA from 1 species